rnacentral:rRNA from 1 species
ACACAUGCAAGUCGAACGGAGCACCCUUGAUUGAGGUUUCGGCCAAAUGAUAGGAAUGCUUAGUGGCGGACUGGUGAGUAACGCGUGAGGAACCUGCCUUUCAGAGGGGGACAACAGUUGGAAACGACUGCUAAUACCGCAUGACGCAUUUUGAUCGCAUGGUCGAAAUGCCAAAGAUUUAUCGCUGAAAGAUGGCCUCGCGUCUGAUUAGCUAGUUGGUGAGGUAACGGCCCACCAAGGCGACGAUCAGUAGCCGGACUGAGAGGUUGACCGGCCACAUUGGGACUGAGAUACGGCCCAGACUCCUACGGGAGGCAGCAGUGGGGAAUAUUGGGCAAUGGGCGCAAGCCUGACCCAGCAACGCCGCGUGAAGGAAGAAGGCUUUCGGGUUGUAAACUUCUUUUAAGUGGGAAGAGUAGAAGACGGUACCACUUGAAUAAGCCACGGCUAACUACGUGCCAGCAGCCGCGGUAAUACGUAGGUGGCAAGCGUUGUCCGGAUUUACUGGGUGUAAAGGGCGUGCAGCCGGGCAUGCAAGUCAGAUGUGAAAUCUCAGGGCUUAACCCUGAAACUGCAUCUGAAACUGUAUGUCUUGAGUGCCGGAGAGGUAAUCGGAAUUCCUUGUGUAGCGGUGAAAUGCGUAGAUAUAAGGAAGAACACCAGUGGCGAAGGCGGAUUACUGGACGGUAACUGACGGUGAGGCGCGAAAGCGUGGGGAGCGAACAGG